AUUGAACGCUGGCGGUAAGCCUUAAACAUGCAAGUCGUGCGGUAACAGACAUAAAGAUUUAGCUUGCUAAAUCCGGUGCUGACGAGCGGCGAACGGGUGAGUAACACGUAGGAAUCUACCCAGUAGCGGGGGAUAGCCCAGGGAAACUUGGAUUAAUACCGCAUACACCCUAAGGGGAAAGAAGGCCUCUCUUUGAAGCUUUCACUAUUGGAUGAGCCUGCGUAAGAUUAGCUUGUUGGUGGGGUAAAGGCCUACCAAGG
rnacentral:rRNA from 1 species